GUGGGGAAUAUUGGACAAUGGGCGAAAGCCUGAUCCAGCCAUGCCGCGUGAACGAUGAAGGCCUUCGGGUUGUAAAGUUCUUUAGCCGAUGAUUAUAAUGACUGUAGUCGGAAAAUAAGCCCCGGCUAACUUCGUGCCAGCAGCCGCGGUAAUACGAAGGGGGCGAGCGUUAUUCGGAAUCACUGGGCGUAAAGCGUGCGUAGGCGGUUUUGUAAGUUAGGAGUGAAAGCCCAGGGCUCAACCUUGGAAUUGCUCUUAAAACUGCAAGGCUCGAAUCUCGGAGAGGAUAGCGGAAUUUCCAGUGUAGCAGUGAAAUGCGUAGAUAUUGGAAGGAACACCAGUGGCGUAAGCGGCUAUCUGGACGAGUAUUGACGCUGAGGCACGAAAGCGUGGGGAUCAAACAGGAUUAGAAACCCCUGUAGUCC
rnacentral:rRNA from 1 species